rnacentral:rRNA from 1 species
GACGAACGCUGGCGGCGUGCUUAACACAUGCAAGUCGAACGGAAAGGCCCUGCUUUUGUGGGGUGCUCGAGUGGCGAACGGGUGAGUAACGCGUAAGAACCUGCCCUUGGGAGGGGAACAACAACUGGAAACGGUUGCUAAUACCCCGUAGGCUGAGGAGCAAAAGGAGAAAUCCGCCCAAGGAGGGGCUCGCGUCUGAUUAGCUAGUUGGUGAGGUAGUGGCUUACCAAGGCUUUGACGGGUAGCCGGCCUGAGAGGGUGACCGGCCACAUUGGGACUGAGAUACGGCCCAGACUCCUACGGGAGGCAGCAGUGGGGAAUAUUGCACAAUGGGCGGAAGCCUGAUGCAGCAACGCCGCGUGCGGGAUGACGGCCUUCGGGUUGUAAACCGCUUUCGCCUGUGACGAAGCGUGAGUGACGGUAAUGGGUAAAGAAGCACCGGCUAACUACGUG